CUCACUGUUGCUUUCUGAGAGGGCUUGCCAAUUACAUGAUGUGCUAUUAUAUUUUUAUUUGAGCCUCUGUUUUCAGUGGAACCAAAUGAAGAUGUUUAUCUUCCACAAAUUCGUGAAUGAACCAAUCAGUAAGUGCUUUUAAAAAAUCAAUUUAAAUUUAGUUUUUAAAAUAAUCCCAUCUCUGUAUCUACAGAUAUCAGCCUUUAUCAUCAUCACCGCAUCAUCGUCACCAUGCUUAUUGUUCAUGUAUCAUCACGGUUAUAGAGCCCGAGAACUAAAGAAAGGAAUUUUCCAUUUGAUAUUUUCGGUUCACGGUGACUGGAGGAAGUUGAAACCUCAGAAAACUAAACCAUGA
ensembl:lincRNA